rnacentral:rRNA from 1 species
UCAGGCCUAACACAUGCAAGUCGAGCGGAUGAAGGUAGCUUGCUACCUGAAAUAGCGGCGGACGGGUGAGUAAUGCUUAGGAAUCUACCUAUUAGUGGGGGACAACAUUUCGAAAGGGAUGCUAAUACCGCAUACGUCCUACGGGAGAAAGCAGGGGAUCAUUUUGACCUUGCGCUAAUAGAUGAGCCUAGUCGGAUUAGCUAGUUGGUGGGGUAAAGGCCUACCAAGGCGACGAUCUGUAGCGGGUCUGAGAGGAUGAUCCGCCACACUGGGAGUGAGACACGGCCCAGACUCCUACGGGAGGCAGCAGUGGGGAAUAUUGGCCAAUGGGGG